ACGAACGCUGGCGGCGUGCUUUACACAUGCAAGUCGAACGGUGAAUCGCCUUCCUUUUUGGUGGGUGUGGAUGAGUGGCGAACGGGUGAGUAACACGUGAGUAACCUGCCCCCUUCUUCUGGAUAACCGCAUGAAAGUGUGGCUAAUACGGGAUAUUCUGGGUCUGUCGCAUGAUGGGUCUGGGAAAGAUAUUGCUUCGGUGGGGGUUGGUCUCGCGGCCUAUAAGUUUGUUGGUGGGGGAAUGGCCUACCAAGGCGGUGACGGGUAGCGUGCCUGGGAGGGUUGACUUGCUAACUGGGACUGAGACGCGACCCAGACUCCUGCGAGAGGCAGCAGAGGGGAAUAUUGCACAAUAGGCGAAAGACUGUUGCAGCGACGCCGCGUGAGGGAUGGAGGCCUUCGUGUUAUAAACCUCUUUCGCCAGUGAAGCAGGCCUGCCUCGUUUGUGGGUGGGUUGACGGUAGCUGGAGAAGAAGCGCCGGCUAACUACGUG
rnacentral:rRNA from 1 species